GCGGCACACAGUAGGCCCUUAAUAAAUAAUCGGAAUGAAUUAACAGUCGAAUGAACUAAAAGAGCAGAGGAGAAAAAGAGGAGGUGAAUGUUGACCAGGCCUUCAGAGAUGGGAAGGGUGAGAAGAAGCUGCUCUUUCCCAGUCUUUUCAGAUGGUGUUGAAAUUCCGCAGGGACUCAAGGAAUUCCAAAAGUCUGCUUGUCGGCCUCCCUGAUAGAUGUCCAUGGUACUGCCUGCCUCCCUCCUGUGAUCAUCUUGCUCUACCCAGGCCCUGAAGAGCCCUCAAAGGCUUGAAAUCAAAAAGACUGAAAAAGCCCAAGUUCCGAAAUUUACUGCUUGACCUAAAUGCCUCUCAAAUCCUCCAUUCAUGGCUGAUGGUAUCUAAAUGAUCAGGAAGACUUCAAGGAAAAAUAUACUUACAUAAGGAACAAGAAGGAACAAGCAAGUUUUAGGGACAGCUGGUCUGCUAGAAGUUACCUGCGUACGCGGUUUCAUCAUCCUGACAACAUAUUUAAGAACCAUCGGAGACAUUCUACGACAUUCACUCAUCUGUCAUAAGUCUGAUUCUGGAAUGGAAGGAUCCAGGGUCCAUCCGAGUCACCAAGGUGUAUGAUUUCAAUAGAGUCCCCAAACUAUUAAUACUCUCCCCAAGACUGUGUCGGAUCACUCAAAUUCCAAUCUCUCAUAUUUCCUAACAGAGUUGUGUCCGAUGCCUUUUCCCCGACUGGAUAUGGCUUUCGGAUGGACUGAAGGAUGGACUGCUACCCCGGCUGACUGGAAUAUUAAUAUCCUCCAUAUCAUAGCUGAUGGGGUCCUACUGCCGUGAGCGAGGGCUCCACUAGGUAGCAGCUAAGCCUAUGGACUAAUGUCUUAAUGAGGCGGCUGUUAUAAAAUCAUAAUAUAGGAAACUGUCAGGAUUUGUUUAUCUGCAUUUUUUGGUAAAACUAUUAAUGACACU